GGGCCUGUAGUUUAACGGCAGAAUGUCACUAUGGCAUAGUGAGGAUAAGGGUUCAAUUCCCUUCAGGUCCACAA
rnacentral:tRNA from 1 species